rnacentral:rRNA from 1 species
UACAGAGGUCCCAAGCGUUGUUCGGAUUCACUGGGCGUAAAGGGUGCGUAGGCGGUCGGGUAAGUCUGAUGUGAAAUCUCACAGCUUAACUGUGAAACUGCAUUGGAUACUAUCCGGCUCGAGGAAUGGAGGGGAGACUGGAAUACUUGGUGUAGCAGUGAAAUGCGUAGAUAUCAAGUGGAACACCAGUGGCGAAGGCGAGUCUCUGGACAUUUCCUGACGCUGAGGCACGAAAGCCGGGUGGGAGCAAAACGGG